rnacentral:rRNA from 1 species
CCUACGGGUGGCAGCAGUGAGGAAUAUUGGUCAAUGGGCGCGAGCCUGAACCAGCCAAGUCGCGUGAGGGAAGACGGCCCUACGGGUUGUAAACCUCUUUUGUCGGGGAGCAACGGGCGCUACGUGUGGCGCCACUGAGAGUACCCGGAGAAAAAGCACCGGCUAACCCCGUGCCAGCAGCCGCGGUAAUACGGAGGAUGCGAGCGUUACCCGGAUUUUUUGGGUUUAAGGGGUGCGUAGGCGGGGCGUUAAGUCAGUGGUAAAAUUGAGGGGCUCAACCCCUUCCCGCCAUUGAAACUGGCGCUCUUGAGUGGAAGAGAAGUAUGCGGAAUGCGUGGUGUAGCGGUGAAAUGCAUAGAUAUCACGCAGAACCCCGAUUGCGAAGGCAGCAUGCCGGAUUCCGACUGACGCUGAAGCACGAAAGCGUGGGGAUCGAACAGGAUUAGAUACCCCUGUAGUC